rnacentral:misc_RNA from 1 species
UCCCCAUUAACUGAGGCAGUUCCCUGUGAAAAAUUUAACACAGGAUGUGGGUUGCGCUCGUUGACCGACUGAACGGGACACUUCACAGCACGAGCUGACGACAACCGUGCAGCACCUGUCAUCUGGCUCCUUGCGGCAUGGCUCUGUUUCCAGAGCUUUCCAGAGAUGUCAAACCUUGGUAAGGUUCUUCGCUUAGUAUCGAAUUAAACCACACGCUCCACCGCUUGUGCGGGUCCCCGUCAAUUCCUUUGAGUUUUAAACUUGCGUUCGUACUCCCCAGGCGGCUCACUUAACGCGUUAGCUUCGGUCCAAAGAGGGGUCGAUACCUCCCAAGACCUAGUGAGCAACGUUUACAGUGUGGACUAC